UGCCGGGAGGAGGGAGCGGCCUCCGCCCGGCCCAGCAGCGCCCGGCGCCCCGCUGCGAGGAGAGCGGGAGCCGCGGAGCUUUCUGUCCGCCGAGGUGGGACCCGGCGCCGGCCCGGCCGCUGCCCCGUCCUGCCCGCGGUGGAGGAAAACGGGCAGCUCAGCGCCACAGCGCACACUAUGGGGUUUUUUAAAAAUCCGCUCUUUAUUUGUUAUUUGGGUUUUAUUUCCACUUGCGAGACAAAGUCUGUUCCCUUCAAAGCAGCUGUAUCUCCUCCUGGUACCCGCAGAGCUCUGUGAAGUCUGCACUGGCUCUGACCCUCGUCUGCCUCACCACAGCUCACGGGGCACCUUUAGCUGACAAGUCACGGUAUAAAAUGGAUGAACGUACAGAAAAUGCGCCAAGCCGGCCCUUCCCGUGUGUUGUCUUGUGCCGAAAGGCAAAGGCGCACGCGUUGACACCCACGUCGCUACCGAUCAGUGCUUACUGUCCCUGGGAAGGAGGAACAGAUCUGGAGUGGGACUCUGCAGAUCCCCAGAGCACGUGAGAGCAGCACCGCAGAGGUACUGAGGGGAUCCCUCACCACAUCUGUUACAGGCACCUUUGCAGCCAGACAGAAGACCUGCUCCCCCAUUUUACCACUGCAGCUUUUUCUUAAUAUAAUCAGCUACUGUGUUUUACAUACCUGUCGUCUUAAGGAAGCGGCAUCUACAACUGUCAUGUCGUCUGGUGUUCCCUCAAGUGGAGUAUCCGUGCUGGAAAGACCGUACCUAUCAAGUAAGGGAGAUAGCUUAGUGGUCUCGUCCAUGCAAAGAUUAGCAAGUACCAUAUUUUAUCCACAUUCUAGUAGAUGUAUUUUUUGUGGUGACAGAGAGAACCUUUUUUUUUUUUUUUUUUAAAUUUUCCAGCUUUUACAGAGUUGUCUUUUUCAACAGGUUCCUAACCAAAUAAAGCACAAACACAUAUGAAGUGGGUAAGUGCUUGACUGAAUCUGGGUUUAUUGCUCUCCACGUUUUGAUAUUUUUGAAGAUUGUCCAUGCAGACAGACUUCUUGCCGUCACUUGGUCUCUCCAAAGACUGUUUCCAGUUGUUUAACUGAUUAAUGAAACCUGAAAAUUGCAUGAGCUAAAAUGCUGAAGUUGCAAGAGACUUGCAAAAGAUUAGAAAAAAAUAAAAUGAAGACUGGGAAAGAAUUGGGUGUCUUAUGCUCAGUACGUCCUUAAAUAUCCCAAGUGGACACCUACUGAGACUAAUGAUCUCAGUCACAUUAAUCUUAGUAUUUUAGGCAAAGACAGAACCUUGCAAAUAAAUCAUCUGGUGCAGAGUCACCACUUACUGAAUGUUGCAUGCAUUGAAAAGUUAGUUUCCAGAGCACCUCUCAGUUUUCUUAAUGUAGCAAUUCAGAGAAAGCAUUAUUUUAACUCCAGGGCAAGGUAAUUAAACACAGCACAUUUUUUUAAUGAGUUGGGAAGUGGCAGAAAGUCUACGUAAAGUAUCUGUUUUGAUCAUCCAAAUGCUACCUCUUAACCAGAUUCUUUUCCAGCAAACAGCAGGUAAAAGUAACUCCUAAUGCUGCACCUACCACUGCGCUUCUCACUUCUGAACUUAAAGCUGGUUUUCAGUGUUAGCUCCCCUAGAUUCGCUUUGUCAUCAGGACACGUUAACAUCUUAGGAAAAUAAUGCCACACAACAAAAUACAUCUAAAAGAAUGUUCAGCAUUUAAUGACAGUUAAUGGACAACUUCAACUAACGUGAACAUGAGUAGAAUUCCUGGAGCUUGCAGAACGCACUUCAGUGCAGAUCCUGCUCCUGCACUAAAUGUUCGUUCAUCACUUGCAGCAAAUUUUAUAGAACAGGCCCAGCUCAGGCAGGACUCCACACCCCCAGCAGAAAACUUGUCAGAAGUUUCUCUGUAUCAUAUUGUUUCUAAAUAAGAACUGCUGUUUCUAGAUGAGAGUUGCAUUAGUCCUCACUUAGAUAACAAGGAGCUCCUUGAGCAGCACUAUAAAAGAUAGGAAGUUAAUUAUGUUUGGUCUGUGGGGGUUUUUUUGGAUUGAAGGGUAAAGAGGAGAGGGAAACCUUUUCCAGGUUACACCAGGAUAAAAACGGCUUUUAGUAAGGGAAUAGUCAAAUAAGCAAUUGUCUGUCAACAGAGUCACUGCUGUUACAAAAACACAGUAUGAGACCAACAACAGUUUUGGCAAAUAGUUUUGUUAGAAAAAGCUUUUCUCAUUAAAGCCAUUAUUCAUUUUUCAUUCUAAAAGAGACUUCAAACAUUAACUUAACUGUAAUUUAUGCUAUUUACUACUUGUAGUUCUUUCAGUUUGGGCAACAUUAAAAAGACAAAAACUGUU